rnacentral:rRNA from 1 species
AGUCGAACGGCAGCACGGGAGCAAUCCUGGUGGCGAGUGGCGAACGGGUGAGUAAUAUAUCGGAACGUGCCCAAUCGUGGGGGAUAACGCAGCGAAAGCUGUGCUAAUACCGCAUACGAUCUACGGAUGAAAGCGGGGGACUCAGCAAUGGGCCUCGCGCGAAUGGAGCGGCCGAUAUCAGAUUAGCUAGUUGGUGGGGUAAAGGCUCACCAAGGCGACGAUCUGUAGCUGGUCUGAGAGGACGACCAGCCACACUGGAACUGAGACACGGUCCAGACUCCUACGGGAGGCAGCAGUGGGGAAUUUUGGACAAUGGGCGCAAGCCUGAUCCAGCAAUGCCGCGUGCAGGAUGAAGGCCUUCGGGUUGUAAACUGCUUUUGUACGGAACGAAAAGACUCCUUCUAAUAAAGGGGGUUCAUGACGGUACCGUAAGAAUAAGCACCGGCUAACUACU